rnacentral:rRNA from 1 species
UUACCGAGUGAGGGCCCUCUGGGUCCAACCUCCCACCCGUGUUUAUUUUACCUUGUUGCUUCGGCGGGCCCGCCUUAACUGGCCGCCGGGGGGCUCACGCCCCCGGGCCCGCGCCCGCCGAAGACACCCUCGAACUCUGUCUGAAGAUUGAAGUCUGAGUGAAAAUAUAAAUUAUUUAAAACUUUCAACAACGGAUCUCUUGGUUCCGGCAUCGAUGAAGAACGCAGCGAAAUGCGAUACGUAAUGUGAAUUGCAAAUUCAGUGAAUCAUCGAGUCUUUGAACGCACAUUGCGCCCCCUGGUAUUCCGGGGGGCAUGCCUGUCCGAGCGUCAUUGCUGCCCUCAAGCCCGGCUUGUGUGUUGGGCCCCGUCCUCCGAUCUCCGGGGGACGGGCCCGAAAGGCAGCGGCGGCACCGCGUCCGGUCCUCGAGCGUAUGGGGCUUUGUCACCCGCUCUGUAGGCCCGGCCGGCGCUUGCCGAUCAACCCAAAUUUUUAUCCAGGUUGACCUCGGAUCAGGUAGGGAUACCCGCUGAACUUAAGCAUAUCAAUAAGCGGAGGAAAAGAAACCAACAGGGAUUGCCCCAGUAACGGCGAGUGAAGCGGCAAGAGCUCAAAUUUGAAAGCUGGCUCCUUCGGGGUCCGCAUUGUAAUUUGCAGAGGAUGCUUCGGGAGCGGUCCCCAUCUAAGUGCCCUGGAACGGGACGUCAUAGAGGGUGAGAAUCCCGUAUGGG